CCCAGCUCAUUUCGUUGGAGAUCCUCGAAGGAAGAACAUGUUUGCGUGCUGCAUCCCCAAGUCCAGAGGCUGCAGGCUGAGGAGAGCACGCCUUGCAAACACUUCCCCUUGCUGGGAACUUUGUGUCAGGACUCCCCGACGCCUCUGGCCAUUUGGCAGGAAGGACCGAAAGAAGGCUGUGGAUGAGACUCAGAGGAGGCUGCCGGACACGUCCUCCAUCUCCCACUUGGAAGAAGUCAGUUCAGAAAGCUCUCCAGGUGCAGGUGCUGGGGACGACCAGGGAAGGUCUCUGACCCCGCCCAGGCCACUGUCCCUGGUGGUCCAUUACUGGACUGUGGUCCACAAGCACGAGGCUGCUCUGCCAUCUGAGGAAC